AGUUUGAUUAUGGCUCAGGAUGAACGCUGGCGGCGUGCCUAACACAUGCAAGUCGAACGAAGCAUAUUUAACGGAGAUUCGUCGAAGCUGGAUAUGACUUAGUGGCGGACGGGUGAGUAAUGUAUGAGCAACCUGCCUUUCAGAGGGGGACAACAGUUGGAAACGACUGCUAAUACCGCAUAACGUAUUUGGGUGGCAUCACCUGGAUACCAAAGGAGCAAUCCGCUGAAAGAUGGGCUCAUAUCUGAUUAGCUUGUUGGCGGGGUAACGGCCCACCAAGGCGACGAUCAGUAGCCGGACUGAGAGGUUGAACGGCCACAUUGGGACUGAGAUACGGCCCAGACUCCUACGGGAGGCAGCAGUGGGGAAUAUUGGGCAAUGGGCGAAGGCCUGACCCAGCAACGCCGCGUGAAGGAAGAAGGUCUUCGGAUUGUAAACUUCUUUUAUGAGGGACGAAGGACGUGACGGUACCUCAUGAAUAAGCCACGGCUAACUACGUGCCAGCCGCGGC
rnacentral:rRNA from 1 species